rnacentral:rRNA from 1 species
AGCGAACGUUUGCGGCGGGCUUAACACAUGCAAGUCGAACGAGAAUCCCUUCGGGGAGGAAAGUGGCGCACGGGUGCGUAACACGUGGAUAACCAACCCAUUGGUUUGGGACAACACCGGGAAACUGGUGCUAAUACCAGAUGUGUCGCAGCUGUCUUCAGGCGGUUGCGAGAAAGGCCCGCAAGGGUCGCCAACGGACGGGUCCGCGUCCCAUCAGCUAGUUGGUGAGGUAAUGGCUCACCAAGGCAAAGACGGGUAGCUGGUCUGAGAGGAUGAUCAGCCACACUGGAACUGAGACACGGUCCAGACUCCUACGGGAGGCAGCAGUGGGGAAUAUUGCGCAAUGGGCGAAAGCCUGACGCAGCCACGCCGCGUGAGCGAUGAAGGUCUUCGGAUCGUAAAGCUCUGUGGGGAGAGACGAAGAAAGCCUGUGAAGAGCAGGCCUUGACGGUAUCUCCUUAGCAAGCACCGGCUAACUCCGUGCCAGCAGCCG